ACAAGGCAGGCACGUAACCGUUGGGAGACUGUCUGGAGUCUGUCUGAAAUUGAUAAAAUUGGAGAUGGAGUUUUGCGUCUGUUUGAACGUUUACAGGGAAGCCGCCCGCUGGAAAUGGGAUUUUUUUGCUCUCCUCCUCAAACGCCUUCGCCCAGGAGACGCCAGGCUCAACCAAAAAUAUUUUUAGAUAUCCGCCGUGAAAGUUUUUUCUUCUGCAGUCUAUCAGCAGACAGCUCUUUAUGUACAGCUCUGCGGGGAAGCAGCCAUCAGCCCUGGAGUUCAAGAGGAGUGCACCAUCCUGAAUGCAGUCUGCACCAGCUCAGAGGCAUGUCCAGAACCUGAUCCAGCACAUGAAAACUGAUCCAAAACGUACUGAAGAAGGUGAUCUCUGGAUUCUUGCAGGCUGUCAUAACUUCAUGUCUUAGACACCCAAAUGGUCUGGCUUCUUCUUCUUAACAACUCCAUUGCAAGGCAGUCCACAUCCAAACUGCAGGGAGGAGAAUUUUAAGUGUAGUGAGCUGGCGGUGAAACUAGGAAGGAAGAUGUCAUGCUAAGGAUGGGUUUUGGUGAUGAUGUUGCUGCUGUUGAUGCAGCAUCGAGCUCUCACUUUGUGCCUCUGUCAGCUAUGAUGCGUAACCGCAAAGUGAGUGACAGGCCAGUCCCCAGGGAGAGCAGGGGGCCUGAGGUGAGUCAGAUGUAUCCUUGACCCUGUCGAGCUGUGUCAGCAAGCAACACAAACUCAGUAAGAAAAGCCAGAAAUGGCAUGACUGUACAUUGUACAUCUUCAUUUAGUAUGUAGAAGAAGACAAACUAAGAAGCGCCAACACCUUGACUGUUUGUGUUCAAGAGUUCUCGUCUUUAUGCACAAACUCCCUCAACUUAUGAAUAAUGUAAUUAUAAUGCAGCAUAUCACAUUAGCACUGAUACCUUUGGUGCCUUUCCUGAAUUUGUUUAAAAACAGUUCAGAAAGUUGUACUUUUUCUGUGAUAUUAUUGGGAACAUGUCUCAAACAUGAACUUGGUCUUGAUUUAUGUAGAUUGUUUUUUACAGUCAGUACUUCAGAGAAUAACAGAUACCGCAUUUAACACUCAAAUCCAUGAUGAAACUUUGAUCAAAGAUGUUAGAGAGCUGUUUUUUUUUCUUGUUCUGGGUAGUCAGAACUUGUAUCAAAACUUAUCAAGGUUUUACUUCAUUUCAUUCACUUAUUAGUCCUGUUUUAACAGUUUUAGAGAUUCUCAUAGCAGGUAGAUAGUCGUCUUUUCCAGUGGUUCAAAGUUUAGUACAAAGAAACCUGAAGACAAAAUUUGAGAAAAUGUAUCUUAGGAUUAGGGUUCUUUGUGAUACAUGGCCGAACUGCAACCACAACCACAACCUAAGGAGUUCUGAUACUUGAAAGCAAUCAGUGGAUUACAAAAAAUGUUUGAGAUAAUUAUUAAAACAAAAAAAAUCAACCUUGCAUUGGUAUAUUGCAUGUUAAAAAAACAGAUUUAAUAAACUUUGUCAAAUCCAAAUCAUCAAGAAAAUGUGUGCUGAAACUGAAUGUUACUUGUGUUCCUUUAUUACUCGUUAUGUUUUUAGAUUCCCAAUACAUCACUCAGAGAAGUGUUGAGUCGAAUGUGAUGCAUUUUACACAAUACUUUAUCACAGUAUUUUACUACAUUUAGUCUUAAACAAAGAAUUAGAGUACCUGCUAUGUUGAUCGACAGGAAACUAACCUUUGAAAAUUCAGGAAGUCGAUGUCUAUGUCAUUUCACACGAAAUGCAAAACUUAAUCUGGCUCCAUCUCAUAAACCUUACUUUGUACUUUCACCUUCCUUUAUAUUGUUUCCUUACUUUAUACUUUAUUUCAGUUGUCACCAGCAUUAAAAACUAGAAGAAACAUGGCUGCAAACUGUGAUCAUCUGGUUCUUUUUAUGUUAAACUUGUGCAUAACUUCAGUAUCUGAGUGUUUUACUGUGACUGAACAAGACAAGGAACUAGAAGAUUUCACCUGGUGCUCUGACGAUUGUGACAGCUCAUUUUUAUUUCCUGUUAACUCAGAAUUAAACUGAUCAAUAAACAGAUCAAACCGUGUCAUGUAAAGCGUAACCAUAGUUUAAAGAAACUCUGUUGAGUCAAAAUUGUUAGAAAUAAAUUGUUUGCUCUGUGAGGAAUAUCUGCUCGUCUCUGCCGAAAAAAACACAAAAUAAAGCUGAAAGUGAGCAUUGUUUUUAAGGAGUUUCUUGUGAUCUGUUUUUGUGGUAACAGCCUACAAUUUGUAAAAACCAUAAUCAACUUUAUCUCAUAGGCUUUCUAAAGACAAGCAGGAUUUUACUCCAAAACUUGAUACAACCUGCUCUACUGUAUGAAAAGGAAAAUGAGUUUUUAAUGAACAAAUACUAACUAUUGUAAAGAUUUUUAUAGUGAAGGGUUUCAUACUUCUUCCUCAUUACUUCCAGUUUUCUUUUUUCUUUUUACAACCCAUCUUAGUUUUCAGUCUCUGUAAACAAAAAGUAACCAUGUUGUAAACAACUUUGUGGAGUUUAGGAUUCAAAAUUUCAUGUUUUUAUUCAUCCCUCGAAGCAGAAAACAUUCACUCCUGAACCCAGAUUUGGUAGCUACAUGGGAAAAAGUACAAGAACACUUGUUUUUCCUGAAUUUCGUUAAGUGAACAAAAAGAAUCUUCUCAGAAAAGUCUUGCAUGUCUCCUUUUUUUUUUUUUUUUCAAGGAGGUCGCUCAAACACGGUGUGUGAAAUGAGAGUUGCCUGGGUGUGACUUUUCCAGAAAGCAUCCGCUUGCUAU